GAUGAACGCUAGCGGCAGGCCUAAUACAUGCAAGUCGAACGAUACCAGAGAGCUUGCUUUCUGGGAAAGUGGCGCACGGGUGCGUAACGCGUAUGCAACCUACCUUAAUCAGGGGGAUAGCCUCUCGAAAGAGAGAUUAACACCGCAUAACAUUAUGAUAUGGCAUCAUAUUAUAAUCAAAUAUUUAUAGGAUUAAGAUGGGCAUGCGUGACAUUAGCUAGUUGGUGAGGUAACGGCUCACCAAGGCUACGAUGUCUAGGGGAUCUGAGAGGAUGACCCCCCACACUGGUACAGAGACACGGACCAGACUCCUACGGGAGGCAGCAGUAAGGAAUAUUGGUCAAUGGAGGCAACUCUGAACCAGCCAUGCCGCGUGCAGGAAGACGGCCCUAUGGGUUGUAAACUGCUUUUAUACGGGAAUAAACCUCUCUACGUGUAGAGAGUUGAAUGUACUGUAAGAAUAAGGAUCGGCUAACUCCGUGCCAGCCGCCGCAGUAAUAC
rnacentral:rRNA from 1 species